AAGGAAGACCCGGCAAUGGGAGGCUGUGAACCUGGUCAGGUGGGAAACCAAGCAGCCAUAAAUAGUUACUUUCAUGUGUUUGGGUCUUCUUUCCG
rnacentral:SRP_RNA from 1 species